GGCUAGAAAGCAAAAAUGGUAAUGCAAAAGAUUGCAAAUCUUUUUUUAUUGGUUCAAGUCCAAUUCUAGCUU
rnacentral:tRNA from 1 species